rnacentral:lncRNA from 1 species
AUUCAGCGUUUGGGUCAAGAUGAAGGCGGGUUCUGGACAGACGUACCCAGUCAGGGAAUGUUUACUUUGCCUCCACUUCUGUUCCUCCCCGCCCUGGUGCUGCUCCGGGUCACAUACUCGUCCUGAGCCGGCUUCAGCCUCUCCGCGCAGAAGUCUCCCGGAGCCGACUUCUGAGAGUCGAGUACUCCUAUGUGAAGACUACCAAGCUCGUGUUCAAGGGAACCAAGGCGAAGAGGCGAGAUGGAAAGAAAGUAUCAAGGAGUGAGCUGAAGCCACUGCCCUUGAGAACCCUCUCGAGGAGUCUGGGCUCAUGAGGAUGCCAGAAUAAGUGGCAGUAAGAAGAAAAAGAACAAAGAUAAGAAAAGAAAAAGAGAAGAAGAUGAAGAAACCCAGCUUGAUAUGUUGGAAUCUGGUGGACAGUAACAAACUUUGGUGAAAUUUCAGGAACCAUAGCCAUUGAAAUGGAUGAGGGAACCUAUAUACAUGCACUCGAUAAUGGUCUUUUUACCCUGGGAGCUCCACACAAAGAAGUUGAUGAGGGCCCUAGUCCUCCAGAGCAGUUUUCGGCUGUCAAAUUAUCUGAUUCCAGAAUCACCCUGAAAUCUGGCUAUGGAAAAUAUCUUGGUAUAAAUUCAGAUGAACUUGUUGUUGGGCGUUCAGAUGCAAUUGGACCAAGAGAACAAUGGGAACCAGUCUUUAAAAUUGGGAAAAUGGCUUUGUCGACCUCAAAUAGCUGCUUUAUUAGAUACAGUGAAGCAGAGGACAUAGAAGCAAAAAGUAAAACAGCAGGAGAAGAAGAAAUGAUCAAGGCUCUCCUAAUCUCUGUCAGACCUUCACCUUUAUGACCUUGCCUUAUCUACCAGAACACAGAUCCCUCUUACUAAAGAUUAGAUCCUGUGCUGAAAGAGAAACCAAGAAAAAAGAUGACAUUCCAGAAGAAGACAAAGGAAAUAUAAAACAAUGUGAAAUCAAUUACGUAAAGAAAUUUCAGAGCUUCCAAGACCACAAACUUAAAAUAAGUAAAGAAGAGAGUAAAAUUCUUAAAAAGGCUCAGAAAGAUGGAUUUUUGCAUGAAACGCUUCUGGACAGAGAACCAAAUUGAAAGCCGACAGAUACUGCAGAUGACUGGGAUUUUUGUUUCUGUCUUACCUUUUUGUGUUUUUUUUCUGAAUAAAAUAUUCAGAGGAAAUGCUUUUACAGAG